GAUGAAGAACGCAGUGAAAUGCGAUAAGUAAUGCGAAUUGCAGAAUUUCCGUGAGUCAUCGAAUCUUUGAACGCACAUUGCGCCCCCUGGCAUUCCGGGGGGCAUGCCUGUCCGAGCGUCAUUUCUGCCCUCAAGCCCGGCUUGUGUGUUGGGCGUGGUCCCCCCGGUUUAGGGGGGACCUGCCCGAAAGGCAGCGGCGACGUUCCGCCUAGGUCCUCGAGCGUAUGGGGCUUUGUCACCCGCUCGGGAGGGGCCUACGGGCGUUGGCCAUCCACCAUUUAUUUUUUUUACGGUUGACCUCGGAUCAGGUAGGAGUUACCCGCUGAACUUAAGCAUAUCAAUAAGCGGAGGA
rnacentral:misc_RNA from 1 species